GAUAAACGCUGGCGGCGCACAUAAGACAUGCAAGUCGAACGGACUUAACCAUUAGUUUACUGAUGGAGCGGUUAGUGGCGGACUGGUGAGUAACACGUAAGCAACCUGCCUAUCAGAGGGGAACAACAGUUAGAAAUGACUGCUAAUACCGCAUAUGCCUAAGUAUCACAUGAUACAAUAGGGAAAGGAGCAAUCCGCUGAUAGAUGGGCUUGCGUCUGAUUAGAUAGUUGGUGGGGUAACGGCCUACCAAGUCGACGAUCAGUAGCCGGACUGAGAGGUUGAACGGCCACAUUGGGACUGAGAUACGGCCCAG
rnacentral:rRNA from 1 species